UCUCCGUAGGUGAACCUGCGGAGGGAUCAUUACUGAGCGAGGGUCUCCCGGCCCGACCUCCAACCCCUUUUGUGAACCACCUCGUUGCUUCGGGGGCGACCCUGCCGUUCGCGGCGUGGGGCCCCCGGAGCCCAUCAAACCCUGCGUAACUAAGUCGUCGGAGUUUAAACAAAUUAAACAAAACUUUCAACAACGGAUCUCUUGGUUCGGGCAUCGAUGAAGAACGCAGC
rnacentral:misc_RNA from 1 species